rnacentral:rRNA from 1 species
GGGUUGUGAGGUUAAGCGACUAAGCGUGCACGGUGGAUGCCCUGGCAGUCAGAGGCGAUGAAGGACGUGCUAAUCUGCGAAAAGCGUCGGUAAGGUGAUAUGAACCGUUACAGCCGGCGAUGUCCGAAUGGGGAAACCCAGUGCAAUUCGUUGCACUAUCGUUAACUGAAUACAUAGGUUAACGAGGCGAACCGGGGGAACUGAAACAUCUAAGUACCCCGAGGAAAAGAAAUCAACCGAGAUUCCCCCAGUAGCGGCGAGCGAACGGGGAGCAGCCCAGAGUCUGAAUCAGCUUGUGUGUUAGUGGAACGGUCUGGAAAGUCCGACGGUACAGGGUGAUAGUCCCGUACACCAAAAUGCACAGGCUGUGAACUCGAAGAGUAGGGCGGGACACGUGGUAUCCUGUCUGAAUAUGGGGGGACCAUCCUCCAAGGCUAAAUACUCCUGACUGACCGAUAGUGAACCAGUACCGUGAGGGAAAGGCGAAAAGAACCCCGGCGAGGGGAGUGAAAAAGAACCUGAAACCGUGUACGUACAAGCAGUGGGAGCACCUUCGGGUGUGACUGCGUACCUUUUGUAUAAUGGGUCAGCGACUUAUAUUCUGUAGCAAGGUUAACCGUAUAGGGGAGCCGCAGGGAAACCGAGUCUUAACUGGGCGUUAAGUUGCAGGGUAUAGACCCGAAACCCGGUGAUCUAGCCAUGGGCAGGUUGAAGGUUGGGUAACACUAACUGGAGGACCGAACCGACUAAUGUUGAAAAAUUAGCGGAUGACUUGUGGCUGGGGGUGAAAGGCCAAUCAAACCGGGAGAUAGCUGGUUCUCCCCGAAAGCUAUUUAGGUAGCGCCUCGUGAAUUCAUCUUCGGGGGUAGAGCACUGUUUCGGCUAGGGGGUCAUCCCGACUUACCAACCCGAUGCAAACUGCGAAUACCGAAGAAUGUUAUCACGGGAGACACACGGCGGGUGCUAACGUCCGUCGUGAAGAGGGAAACAACCCAGACCGCCAGCUAAGGUCCCAAAGUCAUGGUUAAGUGGGAAACGAUGUGGGAAGGCACAGACAGCCAGGAUGUUGGCUUAGAAGCAGCCAUCAUUUAAAGAAAGCGUAAUAGCUCACUGGUCGAGUCGGCCUGCGCGGAAGAUGUAACGGGGCUAAACCAUGCACCGAAGCUGCGGCAGCGACACUAUGUGUUGUUGGGUAGGGGAGCGUUCUGUAAGCCUGCGAAGGUGUGCUGUGAGGCAUGCUGGAGGUAUCAGAAGUGCGAAUGCUGACAUAAGUAACGAUAAAGCGGGUGAAAAGCCCGCUCGCCGGAAGACCAAGGGUUCCUGUCCAACGUUAAUCGGGGCAGGGUGAGUCGACCCCUAAGGCGAGGCCGAAAGGCGUAGUCGAUGGGAAACAGGUUAAUAUUCCUGUACUUGGUGUUACUGCGAAGGGGGGACGGAGAAGGCUAUGUUAGCCGGGCGACGGUUGUCCCGGUUUAAGCAUGUAGGCUGGUUGUCCAGGCAAAUCCGGAUAAUCAAGGCUGAGGUGUGAUGACGAGGCACUACGGUGCUGAAGUAACAAAUGCCCUGCUUCCAGGAAAAGCCUCUAAGCAUCAGGUAACAUUAAAUCGUACCCCAAACCGACACAGGUGGUCAGGUAGAGAAUACCAAGGCGCUUGAGAGAACUCGGGUGAAGGAACUAGGCAAAAUGGUGCCGUAACUUCGGGAGAAGGCACGCUGGUGUGUAGGUGAAGUCCCUGCGGAUGGAGCUGAGACCAGUCGAAGAUACCAGCUGGCUGCAACUGUUUAUUAAAAACACAGCACUGUGCAAACACGAAAGUGGACGUAUACGGUGUGACGCCUGCCCGGUGCCGGAAGGUUAAUUGAUGGGGUUAUCCGUAAGGAGAAGCUCUUGAUCGAAGCCCCGGUAAACGGCGGCCGUAACUAUAACGGUCCUAAGGUAGCGAAAUUCCUUGUCGGGUAAGUUCCGACCUGCACGAAUGGCGUAAUGAUGGCCAGGCUGUCUCCACCCGAGACUCAGUGAAAUUGAACUCGCUGUGAAGAUGCAGUGUACCCGCGGCAAGACGGAAAGACCCCGUGAACCUUUACUAUAGCUUGACACUGAACAUUGAGCCUUGAUGUGUAGGAUAGGUGGGAGGCUUUGAAGCGUGGACGCCAGUCUGCGUGGAGCCAACCUUGAAAUACCACCCUUUAAUGUUUGAUGUUCUAACGUUGGCCCCUUACCGGGGUUGCGGACAGUGUCUGGUGGGUAGUUUGACUGGGGCGGUCUCCUCCCAAAGCGUAACGGAGGAGCACGAAGGUUAGCUAAUCCUGGUCGGACAUCAGGAGGUUAGUGCAAUGGCAUAAGCUAGCUUGACUGCGAGCGUGACGGCGCGAGCAGGUGCGAAAGCAGGUCAUAGUGAUCCGGUGGUUCUGAAUGGAAGGGCCAUCGCUCAACGGAUAAAAGGUACUCCGGGGAUAACAGGCUGAUACCGCCCAAGAGUUCAUAUCGACGGCGGUGUUUGGCACCUCGAUGUCGGCUCAUCACAUCCUGGGGCUGAAGUAGGUCCCAAGGGUAUGGCUGUUCGCCAUUUAAAGUGGUACGCGAGCUGGGUUUAGAACGUCGUGAGACAGUUCGGUCCCUAUCUGCCGUGGGCGCUGGAGAAUUGAGGGGGGCUGCUCCUAGUACGAGAGGACCGGAGUGGACGCAUCACUGGUGUUCGGGUUGUCAUGCCAAUGGCACUGCCCGGUAGCUAAAUGCGGAAGAGAUAAGUGCUGAAAGCAUCUAAGCACGAAACUUGCCCCGAGAUGAGUUCUCCCUGAGACUUUAAGUCUCCUGAAGGAACGUUAAAGACGAUGACGUUGAUAGGCCGGGUGUGUAAGCGCAGCGAUGCGUUGAGCUAACCGGUACUAAUGAACCGUGAGGCUUAACCUUACAACGCCGAAG